UACGAAGGGGGCUAGCGUUGCUCGGAAUCACUGGGCGUAAAGGGCGCGUAGGCGGAUCUUUAAGUCGGGGGUGAAAUCCUGGAGCUCAACUCCAGAACUGCCUUUGAUACUGGCGAGCUCGAGUUCGGGAGAGGUGAGUGGAACUGCGAGUGUAGAGGUGAAAUUCGUAGAUAUUCGCAAGAACACCAGUGGCGAAGGCGGCUCACUGGCCCGAUACUGACGCUGAGGUGCGAAAGCGUGGGGAGCAAACAGG
rnacentral:rRNA from 1 species